rnacentral:tRNA from 1 species
GGGCGCAUAGCUCAGUUGGUUAGAGCGCAAUCCUGAUAAGAUUGAGGUCCCUGGUUCGAGUCCAGGUGCGCCCACCA